AAUGAACGCUGGCGGCAGGCCUAACACAUGCAAGUCGAACGGGUCCUUCGGGACUAGUGGCGGACGGGUGAGUAACGCGUGGGAACGUGCCCUUUGCUACGGAAUAGCCCCGGGAAACUGGGAGUAAUACCGUAUAAGCCCUACGGGGGAAAGAUUUAUCGGCAAAGGAUCGGCCCGCGUUGGAUUAGGUAGUUGGCGGGGUAAUGGCCUACCAAGCCGACGAUCCAUAGCUGGUUUGAGAGGAUGAUCAGCCACACUGGGACUGAGACACGGACCAGACUCCUACGGGAGGCAGCAGUGGGGAAUCUUAGACAAUGGGGGAAACCCUGAUCUAGCCAUGCCGCGUGAUCGAUGAAGGCCUUAGGGUUGUAAAGAUCUUUCAGGUGGGAAGAUAAUGACUGUACCACCAGAAGAAGCCCCGGCUAACUCCGUGCCAGCAGCAGCCGCCG
rnacentral:rRNA from 1 species